UCAAACCCUUUUUUGCCUUCUCAAACCUUCGAAACCCAUACCUCUCAUCCCGUCCUUCUUUGUCUUCAAUUUUCAAAGAAAAACGCAACUCUACGCAUCUUCUUCAUCUGAUUUCGAAGCAACAAUGUCCUCAAUCAUCUGAUUUCGCGCCUAGUUUUUCCAAGAAACGUAGUCCUUCGCUUGAUUUUCGAAAGUGACGAAUUGAAGCCCAUAAGAAGCAGUCGAAAUUUCCCUUCCUUGACCACAUUCUGCCGAAAUGGGGGAGGUUUGAGUGAGAUUUGGUCUUGAUUGAUUAAACAUCAAAUCCAAGCCGAAAAAUCAAGCUUUGAAUUUGAAUUCUCGUUUCUUGCUAAUGCAAACAGAAGUUUGUUUACAGAUCGGAACCAGUCGGGAAUAACGGAUUAGCGGAGGUGAUUAGAAUUUCCAAGGAUGUAUAUUGAGCUGAGCACGUGGG